AUGGAACAACCCGAUAAUUAUGUGAAGAGAAAUCCUUCAUUUCUGGUAUGCCUCUUACAAACAUAUAAUCGUAGACUCAUAGUUUGACAGUGAAAAAGAAAAGGAGGAUUUGGCUAUGAAGUUGCUCAACAGUGACCUGAACCCAGAAAAACAAAAUCUAUAUGACAAAGCAAGACGCCACUACGCACAAGUUGAAAAGCAAGAUGGCAAUAAAAGAUUACGAGUUGCCAGAGUAAAUAGACAAGAUCGUUUAGAAGAAAAUUUAAUUGGGUGCGAUUCUCAAAAUGAUGAUAAACAAAUAUGGGAGUGGAUAACGGGUGACAAGGUGU